GUGGCAGCAACAGGAUCCAGAACAGACAGAUGUUGGCUUUGGGGAACAAGAAGAAAUAUCCUAAGAACCCUCUGAGUUCACAGUCUCUCACUGUUACCAAAGGCCUUGGAUUUGGAUUCAGUAAAACAAAGACUGCCCUUGAAUCUCCUUGAGACUUACUGUAGCAAACAUUCCUCCCCAGUCAGUAGCAGCCAAACCUCAGGGACUUAACCCUUGGACAUGCAUCUCAUAACUGCAAAAGGCUCCACGUGACAGAUUCCAGAGACCUUCUGAUCAAAUGGAUAGGAGGAGAAGUAGCUGACUUUGAGUGUUAUGGAGGCCAAAGAAGUCCCAAGAUCUAUCUUCUAAAAGCUGCUGAACCAGGAGGCCACUGGUGAGUCCAAUGUAUGAGAACUGGAAGCUCCAAUGUUUGAUGGCUAGAGAAGAUGGGAGUCAGGAAAAUAAAG